rnacentral:rRNA from 1 species
GAUCAUGGCUCAGGAUGAACGCUGGCGGCGUGCCUAACACAUGCAAGUCGAGCGAAGCGCUUUGGUGGAAUUCUUCGGAAGGAAAGUGAAGUGACUGAGCGGCGGACGGGUGAGUAACGCGUGGGUAACCUGCCUCAUACAGGGGGAUAACAGUUAGAAAUGACUGCUAAUACCGCAUAAGACCACAGCACCGCAUGGUGCAGAGGUAAAAACUGAGGUGGU